rnacentral:rRNA from 1 species
AGCGGCGGACGGGUGAGUAACACGUGGGUAACCUGCCUGUAAGACUGGGAUAACUCCGGGAAACCGGGGCUAAUACCGGAUGCUUGAUUGAACCGCAUGGUUCAAUUAUAAAAGGUGGCUUUUAGCUACCACUUACAGAUGGACCCGCGGCGCAUUAGCUAGUUGGUGAGGUAACGGCUCACCAAGGCAACGAUGCGUAGCCGACCUGAGAGGGUGAUCGGCCACACUGGGACUGAGACACGGCCCAGACUCCUACGGGAGGCAGCAGUAGGGAAUCUUCCGCAAUGGACGAAAGUCUGACGGAGCAACGCCGCGUGAGUGAUGAAGGUUUUCGGAUCGUAAAACUCUGUUGUUAGGGAAGAACAAGUACCGUUCGAAUAGGGCGGUACCUUGACGGUACCUAACCAGAAAGCCACGGCUAACUACGUGCCAGCAGCCGCGGUAAUACGUAGGUGGCAAGCGUUGUCCGGAAUUAUUGGGCGUAAAGCGCGCGCAGGCGGUUUCUUAAGUCUGAUGUGAAAGCCCCCGGCUCAACCGGGGAGGGUCAUUGGAAACUGGGGAACUUGAGUGCAGAAGAGGAGAGUGGAAUUCCACGUGUAGCGGUGAAAUGCGUAGAGAUGUGGAGGAACACCAGUGGCGAAGGCGACUCUCUGGUCUGUAACUGACGCUGAGGCGCGAAAGCGUGGGGAGCGAACAGGAUUAGAUACCCUGGUAGUCCACGCCGUAAACGAUGAGUGCUAAGUGUUAGAGGGUUUCCGCCCUUUAGUGCUGCAGCAAACGCAUUAAGCACUCCGCC